ensembl:lncRNA
AAACGAGCUUCUGAAGAAAAUAGAGGGUGAGAAUCCACAUCCCCCCCAUCACAUUAUACACAAUCAGUGAGAAACACAACAUUGAGAGAACCAAAUUCAGAGGGGGACAUGUAAUCAUAGCCACAAAUCUAGGAGGUCAUGGAACUGAUAUCAAGGUUGAUCAGGAUGUCAACAUACGUGGUGGCCUCUUCGUCCUCCUGACACAUUACCCUGGCAGUCGAAGAGUGGAGAAACAGGUGUUUGGAAGAACUGGUCGGAAACCCGGGCAUGGUCCAGAUCAUCCUCUGUGGGGAUAACCUUGCCCCAUUAUACCAGGGCCAGCCUGUGGAGAUCAUGAGACAAUUGAGAGAGAAGCACAAAGUCCAACGCAUCAAUGAUAUGGAGACAGAUGAGCUUCUCGAAAUAAAAAUUAAAGAGGACCUGUUUGGCACGUUUUGUGAAUUUCUUGACAAGUUUCAUGGCAACUUCACAAAACAGGAGAGAGAUGACCUGUCAGGAAUGGGGCCAAAUGAGGUCCCUGAGUGUUUUAAAGAAAAAGGCCCUAAGUUUGAUUUCCAGCCUGCACUCAAUGCUUUGAAAGAAACAUGGCCAUUGUGGCUUACCCUUCACGAGGAGCACAUCCGUCAGCACGAAGAUAUCAGUGUUCUUAAAGCAGACCUUCUUGAGCAUAUCACAAAUAGGGGCAACAUGCUGCUGAAUGGAAAAAGUCAAAACUUCUAUGACCACAUUAAGCAGGCUACCGGCAGAACAGACUUGCACCUCCGCUAACAAAAGUAAGUGUGACUAUGAAGCAAAGUCCUACUGGAAAGAUGUUGAAGAAUGUGACCCUUUUUACAGUGCCGUGGCAAUGUACAACCAAGCUUUCAUCACCAUCAACAUGGGAAAAUAUGGCUACAAAACAGAGGCAUGGAAAUUACUGGAAAGGGCAAAGACAUCUGUGGAUGUUUACUUGUCAGAAACCACAAAUACCAUGGUUUCUUUUCAGAUUGCCAAAAGAGGCAACUUUGAACCACAUCAUGAAGGAGAAUGCAACUUUGAACCACAUCAUGAAGGAGAAUGCAACUUUCUAAAGCAAAUAGAUUCCAGGAUGAGCAUUCACCAAGCUUGGAUACGUAACAUUGACCUUGCAGUAAAUAAACUUAAAGAGCUUGAGGGUGAAGGCACAGCCAUAACAGAGGUAUCCUCAGUGUACAGCCUCUCAGAAAAUCAAGACUACAUCACAGGAAAUGAACUCACGGCCUUGUAUGACAAUGGCCUGAGCAUUGUGUUUGAGGUGAAAAAGAAGCCAGAGUUCAGCUUUGACGCUUUGAUCUGUUUCUUCAUCGGUAUGUGUCAGGUCAUCCUUGGAGUUCUGGUUUGUGCCCUGUCGUUUGGCUCUGCAACCCAGAUUGGCUUAAGUAUCAUCUCUGAAGGAGUCUCUGACAUGAUUGAAGGGAUAUCUGGCAUGAUAUCAGGCACAUUCGAUUGGGUACAAUGGGCCAUCUCCAAAAGCAUCAGCAUUGGGAUGUCUCUGCUCUCCGCAGGGUUCAACGCCAUUAAAAAAGUUGUCACCACAGCAUAUAAAGUCCUCAAUGGUACUUUGAAACUCUCAUCUGUUGCAAAGGAAAUCAUUGGCACAGGAAAACAUGUUUUCAAGUCCACACAGAAAGCAGCAAAGUAUGCAAUUAAGACAGCAACGAAGAAACUGGCAUCCCCUACAAACAUGAAGAUGGCUCUAAAACACGCAACCAAGUACGCACUUCAGGAGGUAGGGAAGCAGGGUGUAAUCACAGGAAUAAACUAUGCCAUUGAUGCUGGAAUUGGGGCCAUCUUUAAAACAAUUUUAGAAAAAGCUUUCAAAGACAUGGUCAAUUCAACAGUCAAAAAGAAUGCCGAACUAGAUCUUAGUCUCACUGAAUACAUUAGCUCUGCAGUACCUAAAGGAGCUUUGCAGAACCGCAGCAACUAUAAGAUUGACUCAAAGCUUGAACAACAAACAAAAGAUUUAGUUCAAGUUAUGACAAAAGAACUUAUUCCUGGCCUCAUGACUGAUGCCACCACAUCCCAAGUCAGUGAUGUUAUCAGCAGACUCUCUGAGGUGUGCAAUAAUGCAACUGACCUUGUGGCAAAAAGUGGAAAACAUUUGAUUGCAAAAGGAGUCAAAAUAAGUGUAGAAAUAGCUAAACACACCACAAUCUUGGUCCAAAUGAUUCGGUCUAUUCCUACAGAACAUGUUAUCAAUGACAUAUUUGUCCUCAAAUUAAAAAAAGAAAUUGAAGAGCAGCAAAGAUAUGUGGGGCAGUAUGAUCAAGAUGGCAGACAUGAUUUACCAGAUGUGAUUCGCCUAAAGGAUGAGCUCCUAAGCUCCAUUUCGGAAAGUGUCUCCGAAGCGUUCAUAGAUGCUUGUGCUGGUCAUAUGUCCUCUUUUGUGACGGGAACAUUCAAGAAGAAGCUCAAUGGAGUUACUGGAAAGGUUGUUGACAAUGUACUUGGCAGACACAAAACUGAGGCCUUUUUCCAGGACCGGCAGCAUAAACAUGAUAUGAAGUCAGCCAGUCAGAAGGCUGGGAAAGCUCUGUCAGAGACUGAAACAAAAGAACUUCUGGACUAUGCAGAGAAGAUUGGUGAUGUUAAUCGACCAGCCUCGGCCCUGGACAUUUAUGUCCUCACAAACAGUGACCUGCUCCAUGGUAAAGGCAUCCAGUUCAAAGUGGUGGAUCAAGAUGGGAAAACGCUCUCAGAGGAGUCCUACCCGGGAACGAACAGCUCAGCCGGCCAAAUCACUCUACGGCUGACCAAAGAGCCUGAGAAAACACACAGUGAGAAAGGAAUCCUCUCUAAAGCAAAAGACAGAAUCCAAGGAGUGGAAAGUCCAUACAGUGGUCACUUUGACAUCAUCCAAGAUGGGAAAGUAAUCCCUGUGCGCUCAGAGAACAAGAACUGCCUGUACCAUGCCCUAGCACAGGCAACAUCUAACAGGUCUGAGGAUGAGAUCACGAGUCAAGCUGUGAAUCUACGAAACAAUGUUAAAGACCAGAUUAAAGGGAGCCUUCAGGCUUAUAGUGAAAUGGUUCAAACCCAGAAGGCCUAUGAUGCACUCGAGAAAAAUCAUGGAAAAUAUGCUAUAGUUGGAGGGGCCAGGAAUAGAAAACGGACGAAUGAUGGGGAAUAUGAACAUGAUAUCAGGCCCAUGAAGAAUUGUCCUUAUAGUUCCUCAGGGAUAAAUGAGUAUGACAUAGCCUUUACGUACCACCUUGGAUUAGUUGGUCCUAACAAAAGCGUCAAAAACACCAAACUUUUCUCUGACAACAUGGGGGAAAGAGGCAUUGUGGAGGCAGACCAUAUCCCACCAAAGAAUUCCCUGAAGCUGGCCAGAGACCAAAAAUCUGAGAUGAAAAAUCUUCAACAGAAGAAUCCGAAGCUUUAUGAUAUGAUAAACAGCAUUGAAUCAGAUCAAAAUGGAGGGAACCUGCUCACAAUGCGGGUUCUCAAACAGCAUCACAGGAAUGCUCUAACCACUGGAAGGAGUAAGACAUCUGUCAUCUGCAGGAAGCUGCUGGCGGAUACACUUGCAAGCGGAGAUGUGGAGAAAUUACUGAAGUUAUCUUUCAUCAUGGCUCAUCCAAUUGCUUCCGACCAGCUCAGAGACAAAGCAGGAAAGCCCAAUAAACUUACCCUGGGAUCCAUUGAUUUAUCUCCUGAAGGAACGGUGUUCUACUAUAAAGCUGGCUUCAAUCAGAUGCUGAAUCACCAUAGUAAAGAGGGGAUCAUCGACGAGAAUCAGCAGGCGAGGCUGAAGUCCUGGGUGUCCGAUAAGAAGUACAUGGACCCGGACACCCCAGAGUACAACAACAUCCUUGCAGCCAUCCAGUAACACAACCUCCACUGGAGACAUGUUAGUAAAGGGAUAAAAUCAUACUUUUAUAUUCAGCAUAAGAAUAUCAUGAAUUCAGUAUAAUCAUAAGGUGAAUCAUUUCUUGUUGAACCUUAGGUGAAUGACAAUUUGACCUUUCUACUGCUGCAUAAUUACUAUACUUUUUUUGUUUGUGCUUCCACAAGGUAGCCUAUGGCUUUUCAAAAUAGAUACAGUAACUUAUGUGCAAGGUGCAUGAGAUGUAAGCUUGCUAAAACAACUAUAGGUUCUUUACAGUAAACUGUAAAUUGACUUUUGAUUUUGUUUCAUUCAGUACUGUAUGCUAUACUGGGUGCCAAAGUUCAUUUCUCAAUGUCAUAAUAUUUACUGAUGUCAUAAUAUUUAAUGUUUGUAGUUUCUUAGUGUUGAAUAAUAUAGCCUACUUUCCAUUUUAGUGUAAUGAUCAUGAUAACCUUUUAAAAUCAAAUCAGAAUGUAUUUGUCGCAUGUGCAGAAUACAGUGAAAUGCUUACCCACAAGCCCUUAACCAACAAUGCAGUUUUAAGAAAAAAGAAAGAAAGAAAGAAAUAUUACAAAUAAUUAAGGAGCAAUAAUAAAAUAACAGUAGCGAGACUAUGUAUUUUAUGCUCAUCAUCAGUGGUUUCACAGUCAAAUCAUGGUCUCAUUGGCAGUGUUUAUCAUGUAUUGGAUUUCUUUACUAUUGGAUUAUGGAUGAUUUUAUAUUUACUCAAUCCAAGGUGGUGUUUUAAGCCAUUUGAAUAAAUGUUUGCAUUCUCAAAAAUAUUAUCUGUAUUUGAAACUAUUGAUAAUAAACUGAUUUAAUUUGCAAGACUACUAGCAA